GUAGGAUAGGAGCAUAAGGAAGGAUAGGAUAGGAGGAUAAGGAAGGAAGGAUAGGAUAGGAGAAUAAAGAAGGGAAGGAUAGGAGGAUAAGGAAGGAUAGGAUAGGAGGAUAAAGAAGGGUAGGAUAGGAGGAUAAGGAAGGAAGGGUAGGAUAGGAGGAUAAGGAAGGAAGGAUAGGAUAGGAGGAUAAAGAAGGGUAGGAUAGGAGGAUAAGGAAGGAUAGGAUAGGAGCAUAAGGAAGGAUAUGAUAGGAGGAUAAGGAAGGAAGGAUAGGAUAGGAGGAUAAAGAAGGGUAGGAUAGGAGCAUAAGGAAGGAUAGGAUAGGAGGAUAAGGAAGGAAGGAUAGGAUAGGAGGAUAAAGAAGGGUAGGAUAGGAGGAUAAGGAAGGGUAGGAUAGGAGGAUAAGGAAGGAUAUGGAAAGGAAGGAUUGGAUAGGAGGAUAAAGAAGUGUAGGAUAGGAGGAUAAGGAACGAAGGAUAGGAUAAGGAGAGGUAGGAUAGGAGGAUAAGGAAGGAAUCAACAGUAACACACUCAUCAGUAAUCCUCAGGCUCGGCUGCGCGCACACACAUGUACACACAAAACAGGCUGAUCUUAUCAGUGGCAGCCAUAGGGUUGCUGUAAUAACCCUGCUGAGGGUGGAGGGUUUGUGUGUUAGUGCUGCGUGUGUUAGUGCUGCGUGUGUUAGUGCUGCGUGUGUUAGUGCUGCGUGUGUUAGUGCUGCGUGUGUUAGUGCUGCGUGUGUUAGUGCUACGUGUGUUAGUUGUGCGUGUGUUUGUGUGCGUGUUUGUGCGCAUGCUUGUGUUUGUGCGCGUGUUUGUGCGCGUGUGCACAAAGUAGUGGUGCUGGAGGUGCUGCAGCACCCCCCUGAUAAAUUGAAAUAAUUUAGCCAAAAUUAGGCUUUUUUUUUUUUAAGUAUUCAAAAUGAUAUUAGUCAUGUCUGAACAUCAUUGAAAAUACUACAUGAGAGAGCAUAAUUUAGCGACAGGCUCAAUAGCUUCUAAAAAAAUAGCUGUGGGUAAAGUUUUAUGACUUAGGGCAGCAAGUGCAACACGUAUAGAACAUCUUUUAGAGUUGUGGCCAUAAACAUAUUAUCCAUAGAAAGGGUUUUGAACAAAUUUAAAAAUGCAAUCAUGAGAAAAAUGCCUACUGCUGAGAAGAGAAGACUGAUCUGUCUGUAGAAAAAAAGAAAAAAAAAACUCAAAAGUUUCUUAUCUUGAGAUAGGGUAUUGGCAUGAGAACAUUGGCCAUCACCGGUGAGUAACCUAGGCUUAACCUUCAUCAUUGGGUGAGUCAGUGCCACUGGAAAAUGUAUUUAGUAGCCUACUGCAUCCUAUAAUAUACAGUAUAUCAGUGGAGGUCAGUGCCGUUUAAGAUGGAGGACGAUUAUUUGCAUCUAGCUGAUCUUGGGUGUAAUCAUCAGUUCAACAGUUGCAAACGAGUUUCUUUUGGACAAAUUCAGGUAUGUUUAUCCCUGUUUGCUUCCGUUUAAGAAAAGUUUUUCAAUAGAAUCGGCGGACUGAAUACACCGCUGAUCAUAGGCAAACACAAUCACUUUCAUAGCAGCCACAUACAAACAGCAUGAUCACGUAAUUCCUUCUCGAAUCUACGCGCGCUCCUCCUCUCACGUUUUCCCUCCGCUUGUGGACUUCAGUGUACAACAAAUCAGCAGUCUGUGACCAGGCGCAAAACCUUUCCACGUCAUAUCAUAACCACUGUUUACAUAUAGUAUUAGCUAACAUCAUAGUCAACAUGGCUACUAAAAUGAACGCGUUAGUAAACCUGCUACAGUUAUGCAGUUCAGUCAGCAAGCAGAUUAGCAGGUACUCUGACGGACUCCAGUGGUAAUAAAAUCAUAAAACCAAAAGCUUACAUUGACUUGGAAGAGUUCCAGUGUUGGAUAGCCAUAGCCAACUAGCUGGCAUAGCAUCCCUCUCUGUUUGAGCCGGGAGUUUUGAGUAG
ensembl:lncRNA